GGAUUAGAAACCCGGGUAGUCCACGCCGUAAACGUUGGGAACUAGAUGUGGGGUCCAUUCCACGGAUUCCGUGUCGCAGCUAACGCAUUAAGUUCCCCGCCUGGGGAGUACGGCCGCAAGGCUAAAACUCAAAGGAAUUGACGGGGGCCCGCACAAGCGGCGGAGCAUGCGGAUUAAUUCGAUGCAACGCGAAGAACCUUACCAAGGCUUGACUAUCACGAGAACACUCUAGAAAUAGAGGACUCUUUGGACACUCGUGAAACAGGUGGUGCAUGGUUGUCGUCAGCUCGUGUCGUGAGAUGUUGGGUUAAGUCCCGCAACGAGCGCAACCCUCGUUCUAUGUUGCCAGCACGUAAUGGUGGGAACUCAUAGGAGACUGCCGGGGUCAACUCGG
rnacentral:rRNA from 1 species